CAGUAGCCACGGGAAUACAGAGGGUGCGAGCGUUAAUCGGAUUUACUGGGCGUAAAGCGUGCGUAGGCGGCUUUUUAAGUCGGAUGUGAAAUCCCUGAGCUUAACUUAGGAAUUGCAUUCGAUACUGGGAAGCUAGAGUAUGGGAGAGGAUGGUAGAAUUCCAGGUGUAGCGGUGAAAUGCGUAGAGAUCUGGAGGAAUACCGAUGGCGAAGGCAGCCAUCUGGCCUAAUACUGACGCUGAGGUACGAAAGCAUGGGGAGCAAACAGGAUUAGAUACCCCCGUAGUCCCUGUCUCUUAUAA
rnacentral:rRNA from 1 species